GAAAGUUUGUUGGGGUUUUUCUGUCACAUUUAACAGAAAAGCCCAAAUGAACUUUUUGG
ensembl:miRNA